rnacentral:misc_RNA from 1 species
AACGCACAUUGCGCCCUUUGGCACUCCGAAGGGCAUGCCUGUUCGAGCGUCAUUUCACCCCUCAAGCCUCGCUUGGUAUUGGGCGCCGCGGUCCUCCGCGCGCCCUGAAGUCGCCGGCGGGUCCGUCUGUCCUGUUGUAGCGUCGUGGUAAACUCAUCGCUAGCGGGAGGGCGGGGCCGCCGUUAAAUCAUCAUUGAAGGUUGACCUCGGAUCAGGUAGGGAUACCCGCUGAACUUAA